rnacentral:rRNA from 1 species
CCCCUUAGAUGUUCUGGGCUGCACGCGCGCUACACUGAUGCGCUCAACGAGUUUUAACCUUGCCUGGAAAGGUUGGGUAAUCUUUUUAAAACGCAUCGUGAUGGGGAUAGAUUAUUGCAAUUAUUAAUCUUCAACGAGGAAUUCCUAGUAAGCGCGAGUCAUCAGCUCGUGCUGAUUACGUCCCAGCCCUUUGUACACACCGCCCGUCGCCCCUACCGAUUGAGUGAUCCGGUGAAUAAUUCGGACUGCGGCAUUGACCGGUUCCCGAUCGUUGCUGCGGAAAGUUUAGUGAACCUUAUCACUUAGAGGAAGGAGAAGUCGUAACA